AGUGAACGCUGGCGGUAGGCCUAACACAUGCAAGUCGAACGGCAGCACAGUAAGAGCUUGCUCUUACGGGUGGCGAGUGGCGGACGGGUGAGGAAUACAUCGGAAUCUACUUUUUCGUGGGGGAUAACGGAGGGAAACUUACGCUAAUACCGCAUACGACCUACGGGUGAAAGCAGGGGAUCUUCGGACCUUGCGCGAUUGAAUGAGCCGAUGUCGGAUUAGCUAGUUGGCGGGGUAAAGGCCCACCAAGGCGACGAUCCGUAGCUGGUCUGAGAGGAUGAUCAGCCACACUGGAACUGAGACACGGUCCAGACUCCUACGGGAGGCAGCAGUGGGGAAUAUUGGACAAUGGGCGCAAGCCUGAUCCAGCCAUACCGCGUGGGUGAAGAAGGUCUUCGGGUUGUAAAGCCCUUUUGUUGGGAAAGAAAAGCAGCAGGUGAAUACCCCGCUGUUCUGACGGUACCCAAAGAAUAAGCACCGGCUAACUUCGUG
rnacentral:rRNA from 1 species